rnacentral:lncRNA from 1 species
AAACACAUCUUAGGAACUAAAUUUAAAAAGUGGAUUGUUCCUUCAUCUUAGUUCCUCUGCAAUUCUCAAUCUUUCAACAAGACAUCUUCAUAGGCCACUAGACACUUGGUACUAUUAGUUCCUCUGCAAUUCUCAAUCUUCCAAUUUCCUUAUAUAUCCUCCAAAGACCCUUCCUCUGCUUCACUUCUGUUCUCUCACUCGUUCAUUCUCUUACUUUUUGAGACUUAGAAACAUGGAUCUGGAAAAACAAACAAAAAAUGGAGACGAAGAGGAGAAGACACACAUAUACAAGAGAAUAAUAGCACUAACAUUAGUAAGACAAACAUUUUCUAGUUAAUUCUUUUCCUGUUUGUUCCCAACACUUUAUUUUAUUUUCUCAUUUUACUUUAUUUUUUUGGUUGCAGAUGUGGACUAAUAUGAUCUUGAGAGCUUUUAUGUUGCUGAUAUUGAUCGAAACUUCUAGGAAAGUGAUGAUGUUCAUUCGCUCCUGGGAUGAAGUGUUGGUUAGUGAUGAUGAUGUUGGUGUUGAUUAUGUGCACCUGUUUUAUGCACUCAUCGGUGUUUUGUCCUGCUUUUUUUUUCUUUUUUUGAAAUUAGUGACACUUUUUAUUUGGAAUCCGGAUCUGUUCCGUUCCGGUAGAUAAAGGCUCGAGUUAUUCAGUACUAUAUGUUGAUGUAUGUUC